UCCAAUCAACUACUUGUACGCUAAUGGCGUAAUGUAUAAUUGGAAUUGAAUUAUUUCUGGAUUUACAAAGAAAAACAGCAAGACUUGCCGCAGCCAAAAGUAUAUCAAACGCUUUUAUAGCUUCGCAAAAGAAAGAAUCAUCAUCCUGGACAAACCAAUGGAUCAGAUUUUCUUUCACCAAAACAUUUUUGUAUGCAUUGAAAAAGAAGUAAAAGUUACUUCUAUGAAAGAAUUACGAAACUUCUUAAUUUCUGUUAUCGUAUUUUGUUGGAGAUAGUUCUUGAUCGAUAAAAAAAGAGGCUAUACGCGAAGCGUGUGACGUACAGUAUGAAGAAAAGAAUUGUGAAGCUGUGACAGAUGAAUGUCCAAAAAAUAAUCUUUUAUAGGACCAAAUCUUUCUGUAAUAAUUGGAGCAUUUAAACCCGCAAAAAUUGUCCGUAUUCCCAGAGGUUUGAAAAAACUUGUUUCCUCAAAAAUGAAGAGUCUACGGUACACAGAACUUAUAUAUUAUAUUAUAUAGAAAUCCUUGGAAUGCGCCACUUCUUAGUCUAUUAAAAGUCUUUACAAUCAAUUACUUACCAUACAUGGCAGUAGUGUAAUAUAAAUUUGAAUGGAAUUAUUUCAGGACUUAGAAAGGUAUCAUAAUCGGAUAUAUGUGUAAUCGUCUUUAAUAUGAAUGGGUUUUUGAUAUAAUUGUACUUUGGACGGCUCAUGCUUCCUUAUCGAGUGCCUCUUUGUCAAGAGCUAACAAAGUUUCAUUUCAAUUUAAUCUCGAUAUCGUUCUUUGUUUUAUUUCAAUAAUCGAUUCGUUUACCCUUUCUCUCUCUCUCUCUCUCUCUCUCUAUAUAUAUAUAUAGUAUAUAAUACAUAACAGAAAUGAGUAACUUAGGGUUUACAAAAAAACAUUAUCAUAUACAUAUUCAUAUACGCCUCAAUGCAAUUACGACUUACAUCUUGCAUCGAAAAAUGACAAUAGUCGACUAUAAUUAGUGAAUUUCUUAAUCAGUGGUAUUACAUCUUACGUUGAUACAUUUGUGAAGAGUUUUGUUAUCUACGGCCAGUUGAAAGGCAUUUUAACUAUUAACCGAAGUAUUGAAAUCUUUUAUCAAAAGUCUUAACGUUAACGACAAACGAAUAAAAGAUUGUAUUAGAGUUUAAUUCGAUAUCUUCCAUUGUAUCUUCCAAUAUAAUAAUGUAAAGUUUAUUAACGAGAAGUAGAAUCAUAUAUCUAAUUAAAAAUAAACAACUAAUAGAUUUCGUUCCAUUACAAAGAUAUAUAUACAUACAUUUAUGCGUACACAUUAAAAGUAUUGCUAAUAAAAAAUCAAUAGGAUUAUAGAAAACAUUUCAUUGUAAAUUGAUGCCGAAAAUAACAAAUACCCUUCAAUAAUGUGUAAUUUUUUCUUUUUCUAUCAAGUAUUAAUUUCUUUUUAAUCAAUUUAAACAUUUUUAGUUCAUAAUGUAUCAAUAACAAUAUCAGAUAUUUAAUUUUGGCUCAUUGCAGAACAAAGGUUGCUCGUUACUGUCCAUACAAUAUAAUAAAUCUCAAGCAAUACCCAAGGAAAGACUACUAUAUACUAUGUGUAUGUGUGCGUGGGUGUGUAUAUUAUGUAUCUAGUUAUGUACAUAUGUAUCUAUUUACAAACAUAUGUUUAUAUGGGAACUUCCAACAUUCCACCUUGGUGGUUGCCAAAAGACUGAUCUCAUACGAUAUUCGACAGAAAGUAAAUAACAUAAGGUGGAUUUAGAUAUUUCAGCUUAUAGAGAAACAUAUAAACAUUGUAAUAAGAUUUGCUUUGUAUACGUCAGCUAGUAAAUGGUAUAAACAUUCUCUUUUUCUUUCAGUGUAAUAAUAUUAUAUAUAUAUAUAUAUAUAUAUAUAUAUAUAUAUAUAUGUAUAUAUAUAUAUAUUAAAAUUUUUAUAAUUUAAUUAGUUAAUUAA